UCCAGACUCCUACGGGAGGCAGCAGUGGGGAAUAUUGCACAAUGGGGGAAACCCUGAUGCAGCGACGCCGCGUGAGUGAAGAAGUAUCUCGGUACGUAAAGCUCUAUCAGCAGGGAAGAAAAUGACGGUACCUGACUAAGAAGCCCCGGCUAACUACGUGCCAGCAGCCGCGGUAAUACGUAGGGGGCAAGCGUUAUCCGGAUUUACUGGGUGUAAAGGGAGCGUAGACGGCAGCACAAGUCUGGAGUGAAAUCCCGGGGCUUAACCCCGGAACUGCUUUGGAAACUGUGCGGCUGGAGUGCAGGAGGGGUAAGCGGAAUUCCUAGUGUAGCGGUGAAAUGCGUAGAUAUCGCGCAGAACCCCGAUUGCGAAGGCAGCGUACCGGCUCCACACUGACGCUGAGGCACGAAAGCGUGGGUAUCGAACAGGAUUAGAUACCCGAGUA
rnacentral:rRNA from 1 species